AAUGGGCAUAGUUGAUGCAGAUAGACAUGAGUUUAUCGGUAAUUUGCGCCUGAGGCAUUUCUUUGAUGUCACACUAUUUUCACGGCAACUUGCUGCUUAAU
rnacentral:snoRNA from 1 species